ensembl:lincRNA Gm29325 predicted gene 29325
UUGCCUGGGAAGACAAGUACAUCUCUCACCUACCUGUAGAGCAGGUGAGGGUUUAUCUGAGUGCUACUGCAGUUGCUCUGACAGUUUUCAUGUUUCCUGUGGAAGCCAUCCUGUCUAACAUACAUUGCUCCUGGCUCUUUUGUUUCUACCUUUCCUCUCUCUCCUCCUGCCCAUUCCCCCAUCAGAAUAAUCUUAGCAAUACAAUGUCUCUUUCUAGCUAAAGUACAGGUGCCAAGAGCAAGAGUUGAACAAGAUAAUUUUAGACAUCAAAAGUGAGAGAAUCCCAGAAUUUAUCUUGUUCACAUUCAUAUUUACCUUUUUUUUUCAUGUCUCUAACAUUACUUCAAGAAGUGUCCACCCUCCUAAGAUCUAGAAGUCUGUCUUGUUAUAACCCAGUUGGUAAUGUUUGAUAAAUGAAUGAGUGAGUGAAUGAAUGAAUGAAUGAAUGAAACUGAAGUCAUUCUUGAACUUCUACCAAAGAUGCUGGAUAAAUUGCUCUAUACAUAUGAUACCACCCUCCAAUAGCACAUAGCAACAGAAACUGAAGGUGUGUUCAUUUUGAAAGUUAGUCCUCAAAAAAGAUGCCCUAAAGGUCACACUGAUUCUACAGAGUCUUUAAGGGGGAGAGUAGUUAGCAUUCUUUUUCCUUUCCUUUUCCUUUAUUCUGAUCUUGCAUCAGGCUGACUUAGCUUCCAGGUGGCUCCCUGGUGGGGCAAAGGGUAUGAAGCUGGUGUGCUAUAAAUUAUAGUGAUUACAACAUGACAGCAAGCCCCCAGCUGAGGCCUGGAACUCCCUGCUAGGAGAGCACUCAAGGACAUUCAGUCUCCUGAAGGUUUAGGAACUCAAACAGCUUUGCCUACUCCCAGAGCUUUUUAACUUCUAUAAUUCUGACACUUGUUGGAUGCAUUUUAUCUCCCAAUCCGUUUAAUUAGGAGACAUCAGAUUAAAAAUGAUCUACUGCUUCUGAAAGGCACUUGAACUCCAAGACACACUUACAAAACUGUGAUCUUUCCUUGUCUCUCAUUCCAUCCCUCCAGCACCCAUGAUGGACAGUGUGAAGAAACAGGGUCUUGUGAAACACCAGUGGCCAAAGAAAGAAAAAAGGACAGUGCAGUAGAGCUCACACAGGAAGCAGUGUGGCCGGUGUCAGACACAACCCUUUCCAACAGCCAGGAUGAGAAUGUGUAUGCCUUUAUUUCCCAUCAGCAUCUCUUGCUUCUGGGUUUUUCUUUUGUAAAAAGAAAGAACAGCUGUUUAACUGGCUCUGAGAUCAGAAAUAGCAAAAGGUGGACUGGGUAUAGGCUAAAACUGAAGCAUACAUGAAGUUAGGCAGCGAGAAGCGAGAAGGGAGAAGGCAUAGCACACACUAGAGUCUCUCGUGGUCCAGAUUCUGUCAAUACCCAUCCAUUUUCAAGGAUACAGUUUUUUUUUGUUGUUUUUUGUUUUUUGUUUGUUUUUCGAGACAGGGUUUUUUUGUGCAGCUCUGGCUGUCCUGGAACUCACUUUGUAGGCCAGGCUGGCCUUAAACUCAGAAAUCCGCCUGCCUCUGUAUCCCAAGUGCUAUUAAAAAAAAAAAAAAAAAAAAGCAAAAACCUGGGCCACCGAAGAUCAGUAAUUCCAAAGCUACCAAGGUAAGAGCUAUAAAAUGAUCCUUUCCAUGGGGACAGCUACAAAUGAAAGAACUGUUUUCUGAAUAAAUUCUCUCAGCAAUAGCAAGCAGGGAGGCCACUCAGGACAGCCCGCAAUGCUGGAUCUCACCUUCCAAGCUUUUUGGGACAGGAAGAGGAGUUUAGAGAGAGAGAUGGGGAAAGCUAUUUGCAAAGUAGUGUUUAUUAUACUAUACCACAAUGCUUUAAAUUUUCAGAUAAAAAGAGCCUGCUUGGCUAAUGAUCAAUAGAUAUGACUAGGAAGAUCAAAUGGAUUGGAGGCAGCCCUGUAAGGUCAGAUGAAUGGAGCAAUUUCUACAGCAUCUUUGGUAGAAGUUCAAGAAUGACUUCAGUUUCAUUCAUCCAUCCAUUCAUUCACUCACUCAUUCAUUCAUCAAAUAGGUCAGAUCAGAUGUAUUGGAGGCAGUCCUAUAAGAUACUAGCAGAGACUAAACAGGUUUUAACUGCAGAUAUUGCUAUUAUGUGUUUGUAUAGUUAUUAUUAAAAUUUCAUUACUCUUUUCUUCCUUGGUUUAAGAAAAGUAAAGUAGACAUCCCAUGGGAUUUGACUUUGUUUUGUUUGUCAUCUCCAUUGAGCCCAUUCAAAUCUGUCUUGGGUCCAUUGAACUCCAGGAAGAGGCUGUGAGAAUGGAAAUAUAUUAAAAGCAACACCCUUAUCUAACUAUAAAGGGCUUUUCCAACUCUAUGUCCUUCCACAUUGCGUACAUGGGACCCUAGCAUGGAGUUAGCUGUGUACUUUCAAUUUCUGGAUAGAAAUUGUUAUACAAAUGAGCUGUAAGAUCUCUGAUACCCAGCAACUUAGUCUACUAGUGGGUGGUUCAAAUCUCAGAAUAAAUAAUUUUAAUAAAUUGUGG